rnacentral:rRNA from 1 species
GAUGAACGCUAGCGGCAGGCCUAAUACAUGCAAGUCGAACGGUGUAGCAAUACACAGUGGCGCACGGGUGCGUAACACGUAUGCAACCUACCUUACAUUGGGGGAUAGCCUUUCGAACGGGAGAUUAAUACCGCAUAAGACAGUAACUGGGCAUCCAGUAGCUGUUAAAGAUUUAUCGAGGUAAGGUGGGCAUGCGUCCAAUUAGUUAGUUGGCGAGGUAAUGGCUCACCAAGACGAUGAUUGGUAGGGGAACUGAGAGGUCAAUCCCCCACACUGGCACUGAGAUACGGGCCAGACUCCUACGGGAGGCAGCAGUAGGGAAUAUUGGGCAAUGGGCGCAAGCCUGACCCAGCCAUGCCGCGUGCAGGAAGAAGGCGUUAUGCGUUGUAAACUGCUUUUAUACAGGAAGAAACGACCCUUGCGAGGGGCAUUGACGGUACCCGAUGAAUAAGCCACGGCUAACUACGUGCCAGCAGCCGCAGUAACAC